AUCUCUCUGGACAAUCAAUUCGCUGAUAACAGUUGGCGACCCAGACUAUUUUCAGCAGGCAUAAAUACCAUAAACUGUUCAUUGUACCAUUAUUGGAUUUUUAAGCCAGAGCGAUGAUAACCCAUUUUAACUCUACAAGUUGGCCACAAAACCACGCUGAUGCAGAAACAUAUUAACGAUCUUAUAUAAAAGGUUGCGGAAUAUGUUGAUCUACAGCUGUUGGUAAGUGAAUAAGAACCUUGCGAUAAAAUCUACCGAAAAGCUCUUCUCUAAUAUUUGGUUAAAGUUGCCAUUCAUCUCAAUGCUUCUACUGCUGUUCACGGACUAUUUGUACUUCCGGUUUGAGUUGAGUUAAAUUUUUCGUCAAUCCAGAAUCCAUUGGGAAGUGACAAUCGAUUGAAAAUUACAAACGUGUGAAGGGAAAACUCCACCAAGGAUCAAUAGGACUAUAAAUAAUGCAUCCACGUCGUUUUGUGAUGUUUUUCGGUUUAUUAUUGAGAUAAACAUAAACAACUUAACGAUGUAGUAAUGUGCACUUUGUUACUUGGUUAAUGACACGAUUGUGACUACAAGACUCCUCCUGUUCGCGGUCGGAAGCAGAUGCUGGCGAUGGUCUGAGGGUGUGUUUACCUGAAACAGAUGAAGUGUUCCUGACAAAAUGAUUUCUCGAAAAACAUUUGAAGUUGAAAUUGACAUGUUAAUUUGGCUCUGUAUUGUAUUUGCAUCGUCUGCUAAUAACAUCAUCACUGGAUCGGGCGUUGUUCAAAAUGGCGCCCCGUUUCUAGAAGUGAACUUCGCUAAUGAAACAAAUAUUACGUUUGUGACUAUUCCAACUACAAGAAUUCCUGAGCACCAGAAACUUCAAGUUGUGUGGAAAAAUAGCUCAACCACCAGCAUAGCUAUUUCUUGGAAAUUCAUCCUCGACCCUUCCAUCAGAAAUGAUACUUUUGACGGCUCAAUAGUCGAGUGUUUCUAUAAAAAUGGGAAAUUUAUUUCUGAUAUGCUUCCCCCUUGGGUCAACACUUAUGUGUUUCAUCGUUUGGAAGUUGACACCAGCUAUACGAUAUGCAUCAACGCCUACGAAAGGAAAACCUCAGGGACAAUUAUCUAUCCCACGAUGCAGUAUUCAAAAUGUGUGAUUCUGUCUACAAUCCCCUACGUCAGACGCGACAGUGUUGUUGUAUUGUUAUGCACAAUGUCUUAUUUCUUGUUCUUGAGCCUUCUUGGAGUUUCACAAUGGAAACAUAAAGUGCGCGAAAUUAAAGAACGACGUCAGAGGUACGUCAUCGAAGAUGAUAACCCGGAUGAAUCCAUGCAACCAAUCCAUAGGCAAGAAAACGGGAAAAGGCUCCGAAGCAAUAAACCACAUUCAGCAAUAGAAGAGACGGCGUAUCGGUGAUUGAUUCAUUCUGUUAGGCAGCGCCAUUAACUAGAUUUAUGUCGUAAUUAAUAGAUAUAGAUAAUUAAUUAAAUGAUAAUCAAAGUUGCCACGGGAUCAUGCCGCUCUAAUGACGGGCUGUCGGUAAUUUUUGUUAUUAAUUGUCAUAUGCACGUAUCAUAUUUUUAUACAUUUCAACAGUUGUUAUUAAAUAGUUAGAAUGCUUGAA